rnacentral:rRNA from 1 species
CCUGUUGCUACACGCUGGAUCCCUCCGCCCCCUGGCUGUGUCAAAAUUCGAGUGGAUGGGGCUGUUGCUAGAAAUCAGAAUGAAGGCUCUUUUAGUGCGAUUUGCAGAGAUGCGGCGGGAGUUUAUUUGGGUUCUUCUGUCAUCAGAAUUCAUGGAAUUAUAGACCCGCCAACGCUAGAAGCUCUAGCAUGCCGGAAGGCUCUUGCUCUUGCUUCAGAUCUGGCACUCUCACAUGUGAUUAUAGCUUCUGAUUGCCAGGGUGUGAUCAAGGAUAUUCAGAACCAAACUGGAGGAAUGUAUACAAGCAUCAUCAAGGGGAUAAUAGAGACGGCUAGAGAAAUCAAUGGUUGUUCCUUCAUUUUUGAAGGUAGAGCCUCAAACCUCGAGGCGCAUAGCCUCGCUAAGCACACUUUUGGUCUGGGUUUUUGGGCGCCAUGUGUGGCUACUAAACCCACCAGAUCUUUGAUGUAUCCCUAUGAACAUUUUUGA